UGAGAAGUGAUCUGAAGACAACACAGAGGACAUAAAACAACAUGGUUGAGAGGUGAUCUGAAGACAACACAGAGGACAUAAAACAACAUGGUUGAGAAGUGAUCUGAAGACAACACAGAGGACAUAAAACAACAUGGUUGAGAAGUGAUCUGAAGACAACACAGAGGACAUAAAACAACAUGGUUGAGAGGUGAUCUGAAGACAACACAGAGGACAUAAAACAACACGGUUGAGAGGUGAUCUGAAGACAACACAGAGGACAUAAAACAACAUGGUUGAGAGGUGAUCUGAAGACAACACAGAGGACAUAAAACAACAUGGUUGAGAGGUGAUCUGAAGACAACACAGAGGACAUAAAACAACAUGGUUGAGAGGUGAUCUGAAGACAACACAGAGGACAUAAAACAACAUGGUUGAGAGGUGAUCUGAAGACAACACAGAGGACAUAAAACAACAUGGUUGAGAGGUGAUCUGAAGACAGAGGACAUAAAACAACAUGGUUGAGAGGUGAUCUGAAGACAACACAGAGGACAUAAAACAACAUGGUUGAGAGGUGAUCUGAAGACAACACAGAGGACAUAAAACAACAUGGUUGAGAGGUGAUCUGAA